AUGACGGAAAAAACAAACAGGAGGUUACGGAGAAACCCUGCCGUUGUUAUUGUCAAAAGCUUGAGAAGUGAAGUAUAUUAGUGUUAGUGGUCGCGGACAUAGUUGACGGUUCUUUAGUUGACGGGUCAUUGCAUCCGCGGGGCCUCAGUGGAACUUGACUGUCUCGUUAUUGAACCUGUUGAACACUGGAAUCGCGCCAGGAGUUUCCUCCGUGUUAUUUAUCUUCAACUAGUUCGACCAGUAAGUUGUGGCGAUCUCGUGGUUGUGCUGGGUACCGCCAUUUUGGGUGUGUUCAGGCUGCUACACGGAAUCGGUCAGGUUUUUUUGUGUGUGUUCUGUUUCUUUCUGGUGAAGUUGUUUCACCCGGGAUUGAUGGCGAGCCUUCCCCCCAGGGGUCUGGAAGAGUUUGGAGUCUGUUCAUGUACACUGCAUCCGCUGGUGCGGUAGGACAGCUUUAGCACACAUUCAUUUCUGUACACCUGGACUUUAAACAUACACUGGUUUUACCAGCUCAAUUACCUUGAGACUGUAUUGUAUUAGGUUAUACAGGGGUAUAUGAUUGUGAUUUCAAUGAAUGUUUGUAUUUUUGUUUUUUUUCAUAUCACUGACUUGAACAUUGAACUGUGAACCUGAAGUGCAGUGUGACACAGGUUAGAAACGUGCACUAAAAGAAUUAGAACUAGAAAAAACAAGAACUUUUAUUUGCUGAAAUUGUAAAUUUUGGUAUUCAAGCUGUUGUCCUUUAAUUCAUAUGUUGUAUGUGGAUCCAUUUACCAUUUCUUUAUAUAAAAAGCCGGCAUUGUUAAACUUCAAAGUGCUAUUGUCUGAGUAUCUCUGUGCUCCAGUAGUCCAACCUAAAAUUCUUCUGGGC